UUGCCGUGGCCGAGACUCAGCGCCUUAAUGCCGUGUUGAUCGACGUCCACCGCGCCUCUCCCAAAUUCGCCGCUCCGAUAUUAUCGCGGAACUUCCUCCCGUCACCUACCCUGAUACCUCGGGCUCUGCCAAGGAAGGGGGGGAGUACUGUUGGUGUGAGGGUUUGCCGGAGCUAGCUCACCGUCCAACCUAGUACAAGUCUCUCUCUAAGAAUUAUCAACCCCCUCCCCAGUUGGACCAGGGGAGGUAUUUAUAGCCUUCACUUGUUGUCAUUGGGCCUCGUGGGCUCGCGCUGUCGGGCCCGUCCGCCCGUCCGUCCGUCUGGGCCGGUCCGGUUCGGUCCGUGGGCCGCGGUCCGCGGUCCAUGGUACCAACACAUGUAUUAUUGUUUGUGUUUUAAACAAUCUGUAGUUCUAUAGCAUGGUAUGAGGAUGAGCAUAGAUUGUGAUUGCUGCAACAGAAAAAUAAGAAGAACCCUUCUGAAGAUGUAAUGUAAAAAAAAUGAUUCUUAAUUACAGAUAUUUAUAAUUAAUGGACACUGUUUUGUUUUAACACAAAAAGGGGAAAAUAACUUUAUUUUUUUAACAAGUGGGUUAACACAUCUAAACUCUAGCUAUAUAUAUCAUAUGUUUUCUACCAAAAAUAAUUGCUGAUAUGCAUAUUACAAAAUAAAUCUCACAAAAAUCACUUACAAGGUUAGGCUUUCCGGAUUUUCAAUGAUCUUUGGAAAUGUCUGAGGAAAGGUUGCUAACUCAGCACCAUAAAUAAUAAUCUUAAUAAACUAAAUGGAUGAUUGGUUUUUUAUUAACCAAUCAUCCAACUUAAUAAACUAAAAACAAGAACAGACCGAUGGGGAUGGAAUCAGAAUAUGAAUAUGGAUGAAGAUCGAAUCAAGAUGAGAUCGGUAACAAAGGAAUCAGAUUUUCGUUACUUUAGGUAGGUUUUGAUGUAGCUCCCGACAUCGUUUAAGUUCCCAGUUGGUCUUUGAAGUUUCUGUAUACAUUAAGGAUACCCAUGGGGAUGGAAUCGGAAUAUGAAACUCUAAAUGUUAAAUCUAUCUCCAGAAUUGGGAUUGGGGGAUUUCGGAAGAAAAGAAAACAUGAUUUGGAAUUUGGGGAAAGUUGGACAGGAAGAAAACAAAAGUUUGAAAACAAAAGUUGGAGAGGAAGAAAUAGCGAUUCUCAAACGAUUCUCACAUCUAGAAAUAGUGCCCAGAGAAGAUUGAGAACUUGGACAGAAGAUUGAAAUAACCGGCUGGACAGGAGAUUGAGAUAUUUUCUUGAGAAGAUUGAGAAAGUACG
rnacentral:lncRNA from 1 species